rnacentral:rRNA from 1 species
GUAUAUUAAAGUUGUUGCAGUUAAAAAGCUCGUAGUUGGAUUUGUCGUGAGAGUUUUGAUGAUGGACAAAGUCGAUCGUCUAAAUUCCACAUUCUUUGUGUUGGCUUUGGGAUGGCAUUCAGUUGCUGCCUCAAAUACACGCAUCUUUUACUGUGAAAAAAUUAGAGUGUUUAAAGCAGACGUUAUUGUCGUUGAAUACAUUANGCAUGGAAUAAUAAUAUAUGACUCGAUUGGUCUAUUUUGUUGGUUUGCACAUUUGAGUAAUGAUUAAUAGGGACAGUUGGGGAUAUUCAUAUUUGAGCGUCAGAGGUGAAAUUCUUGGAUCGCUGAAAGAUGAGCUAAGGCGAAAGCAUUUAUCAAGGAUGUUUUCAUUAAUCAAGAACGAAAGUUAGGGGAUCGAAGAUGAUUAGAUACCAUCGUAGUCUUAACCAUAAACUAUGCCGACUCGGGAUUGGCCGUCGUUGUUUUUUGACAUGGUCAGCACCGUAUGAGAAAUCAAAGUCUUUGGGUUCCGGGGGGAGUAUGGUCGCAAGGCUUAAACUUAAAGGAA